rnacentral:rRNA from 1 species
CCUACGGGCGGCAGCAGUGGGGAAUAUUGCACAAUGGGGGAAACCCUGAUGCAGCGACGCCGCGUGAGUGAAGAAGUAGUUCGGGAUGUACAGCUCUAUCAGCAGGGACGAGAGAAGACGGUUCCAGACUAAGAAGCCCCGGCUAACUACGCGCCAGCAGCCGCGGUAAUCCGUAGGGGGCAAGCGUUAUCCGGAAUCACUGGGUGGAAAUGGAGCGUGGCCGGCUGGGGAAGACUGAAGUGAAAGGCGGGGGCGCAACCCCUGGACCGCUUUGGAAACUGGCCGGCUGGAGGGCAGGAGAGGUAAGUGGAAUUCCUAGUGUAGCGGUGAAAUGCGUAGAUAUUAGGAGGAACACCAGUGGCGAAGGCGGCUUCCUGGACUGUAACUGACGUUGAGGCUCGAAAGCGUGGGGAGCAAACAGGAUUAGAGACCCGAGUAGUC